UCCAAUCAGGAGACCCAAUGCAAAUGGAACAAUGAAUCAAGAUACUAUCUAACAGGACUAGACCAUGCCACCCAGUCAUUGGAACUUGGAUGUAAGUGGCUUCUACAACCAAGUGAGGCAGAGAAAUGGGCAGCAGUGAUGACUCUAUAAAGACUUUUGUCCUUUCAUUCAUUCAAGGUGGUGUACAACCCAAAGAUGAACACAUGACCCUUGUCCUCAAGCAGCUCAAUCUGUGAAAACUAUCAUAUGAGUUAAUGUGGUAACAGAAGCAUGCGCACAAAGUACUCUGGAACAACAGGCAGGGACCAUUUAGACCUGCUGCAGUGUGUGUGUCUGUGUCUGUUUAUCUAUGUAUUAUAUGCAGGCAGAUUGUGAAAAAAGACAAGUUUCACAGAGGAGAUGAUACAUGAUCUUUUCUAAUUCACUGAAGCAUACAGCUAUCAAAGGCCUGAGGACUCUUGAAAGAUGAGCAAAAUUUCAUCAUGCAGAGAAGGGAAGUGUAAAGACAGGAAACAGCAUGUGAAAGGCAUUCUAUUCUAUUUAAAUCUAGGAAUACUGUCUUUAGGAUGUUCUUGGCUGAUUAAAUCAGAUGCAUCAUCAUAUUAUACUAUCAUGAUUUACCAAUACUGGUUAUUGCCUAGAUUUUAUCCAUGGACUCUCCAUUGGCAUCAUUAGUGAUGAGAGCUGGAAGCUUGAGCACACCCUGCCAUAAAGUUGUUUGUAACAGAAGACAUAGUUUGUACUUUGUUUUCUCUGUUUCAGUUUUGGUUUCCACCUCUAAUUUGAUAUAUACCAGUUAUUAAUCUGGUUGAUUUGCUACAAAUGAAAAGUUUAAAAAAUUAAUGACAAUCUAUACAAAACUCACAUAAAACCAUUUGAGUCUCCCACUAGAUGGCACAGGAAGAAUAUGGCAUAUCACCUAAUUCUCAGGCUAGGCUAGAUAGAAAAUGUCUAUUCCUAUGAUCACAUGACUCUGACUACUUUCUCUUAAAAGUAAAUAUAAAUAACAUCUCUGUAAUUUUAUUUUUUCUUUAACAAUAAU
rnacentral:lncRNA from 10 species